rnacentral:rRNA from 1 species
AUUGAACGCUGGCGGCAGGCCGAACACAUGCAAGUCGAGCGGAGCGGCGUACGGGUGAGUAAUGCCUAGGCAUCUGCCUGGUAGAGGGGGUUAACUUCCGGAAACGGGCGCUAAUACCGCAUACUAGCAGAUGAGCCUAGGUUGGAUUAGCUAGUUGGUGGGGUAACGGCCUACCAAGGCGACGAUCCGUAACUGGUCUGAGAGGAUGAUCAGUCACACUGGAACUGAGCCACGGCCCAGUCUCCUACGGGACUCAGAAGUGGGGAAUAUUGGACAAUGGGCGUAAGCCUGAACCUGCCAAGCCGCGUGUGUGAAGAAGGUCUGCGGAUUGUAAAGGACUUUAAGUUGGGAGGCGUUACCAACAGAAGAAGCACCGGCUAACUUCGUGCAAGCAGCCGCGGUAAUAC